rnacentral:rRNA from 1 species
UACAGAGGGUGCAAGCGUUAAUCGGAUUUACUGGGCGUAAAGGGUGCGUAGGCGGGUCUUAAGUCAGGGGUGAAAUCCUGGAGCUCAACUCCAGAACUGCCUUUGAUACUGAAGAUCUUGAGUUCGGGAGAGGUGAGUGGAACUGCGAGUGUAGAGGUGGAAAUCGUAGAUAUUCGUCAAGAACACCAGUGGCGAAGGCGACUUCCUGGCCUGUUCUUGACGCUGAGGCGCGAAAGCUAGGGGAGCAA